rnacentral:antisense_RNA from 1 species
GCAGACCACGUUAGAACCUCGGCUCCUGGAGUAGCAGAACCUCGGCUUCAAUGGGACCCUCAUUUCAUAAAUGAAGAAACUGAGAUUCAAAGAGGGGAACUACCGAAGGUUACAGAGCGAGUUCGUGGAUGGGGAAACUGAGCCUCACAUGUAUGAAUUCCAGCAUAUAAGCAACAGACUCCAGAUUUGGACAUGUAUAUCUUGUUCCAGACUUCCCAGAUGACCACCAAGGUGGAAGGGAUGAUGAUGUCCAGGCAGAAGGGAGCUAGGCCGGCCCAGGCUUUUCCUCUAGGCACAGCGGACUCCAGGUUCAGCCUUCCCGGAUGGUAAUGUUGCAUUCUGAAGAGCUACUUUCCCGCCAACUCAUCUCUGGACUUCUCUGGGGCCCAACUCUGGUUUCCUGCCUGCAGGAGGUCCCCUCUGACUUCCGACAGUAGAUGACCCUUCUGACUCACAGUUCUACUGCUGGGAAAUGCCUCCAGAGCUGCUGCCCACCCCCUCUGCAUCCCUCCAGGUCACUGGGUGUCGAAUCAGGGGAAGCAGGGAUACACACGGGCAGGAAACUCAGGCCUCCUAAAUGUCAGAGCCUCAGGACUUCGGCUACUCAGAAGUAGCUCCCUCCUGGGCCACCAGGGAGCAGCAGGGCAGCCAGCAUCCAGACAUCCCCCCUGGGCUCUGCUGCUCAGAGGCUAGAUGGAGAACCAAGGUGGGAAAAAGGCUUAAACCACAGCGUGGGGAGAUUUAGGUUAGAUGGGUCAGAGGAAGUUUAGGACAAGCCUUGCCCUUUUCAGUUUCUGUCCAGCUUCAGCACAGCCACUGCUUCCUCUCUUUGGUUUUUACCCAUCCCCCUCUCUCCCACCACCUCUAUCCCCUUCCAGCUUUCCUUUCCUUCCCUCCUUCCCAAACCCCAGAGUUUCUCAGGAUUAGCUGCCCAUGUGCCUAUCUCCCCCACCCCCAUGCUUUCCUCACUGUCUCACAGAAACAGGCAAAACACACACACAUGCAUACAACCAUGAGCUGGCCCUGAGAGUUCUCUGACUGGACUGGGGUUGGAGCCCCAGCUCUUGUCCUGAGCUGAGGCCCUUCCCCCAGGUAUCUUGGGGCUUCCAUCAUUUCUCUUGACAGGAGCUGUGGGUGUCUGGGCAGAUGGGAACCUGGGGGAGGUGUGGGGAGCCUUCUCUGAGGCAGGAAGCUCCCACGCUACUGUAGUUAAAAUACUCCGGCAGCAACUUGGGGCAGCCAUCUGGGAUGCCCAGAUCUUCCAGGACACCCAGCUCUCAACAACAACCCUAUAGGAACAAAUCAAAAACCUAAGAGAUACUUAUAGGCCCUGGAAAUGUCUCCCAAAAGUGGCCUGAACUUGAGCCCUGUUUCCUUUUAUCUUCUUCAGGUUAGCACUGGGCAUUGGCAUUUGCAAAAACUCUCUAAGCAUUAAGCAAAACUUGUAGGAGUGGAAGAUACAGCAUUCUGGACCUCCAGUCCUAAUACCCAGCCACACCCCAGCAGCUAUGCAUGGUUCCAUGGGAGAGCAGGCAUAGCCCAUCCUGCUGGCAUAUAGUCCAGCCAUAUCUUCCAAUGCCCACCUGGAGACUGAGCCCAGUUCUGCCCAGCAACAGGAGCUCAGAGCUCCAGAGAGCCUCUCCUGGGGUGCAGACUCAGGAGAUCUUAGCUCAGGAGCAGACUUAGCCUGACUUCCUCUUUUAUAGGAGGAGACAGACUUAGUUACAGAGGAAACCAGAGUUCUUAUAAAUAGCAAGGAAGGGAGAAAACUGCUAUGGAUUACAAACACGCCAUCAAUCUUAAAACAAACUAUUUUUAGUUUCAAAUAAUAACGAGAGUCUAAUUAAUGCUCUGUAUAACUUCAAAUGUGGGAUCUUUAUCUGCCUUUCUACUUUGUGAUGCUUUCUAAUACAGUAUUAGGGCCAAAGGCAGGAAGAGAUGUGGGCAAUUCUCAAUGUUACCAAAUCCUAGAUAUGGAAAGAACCUGAGAAAUUUAGUCCAGCCCUUUCAUUUUCAGUGAAGAAACUCAGGCCCAGAGAGGUAAAAGGACUUGUCCAAAGUUGCAUAGUAAGGUAGGGACUGAGCAGUGACUAAAAGCCUAGUCCCUGUACUCCAGAAGCAGGACAGUUUCCACAGCAGCACAAUAGAACCCAAAGGCUAAACAUCUGUGGUUGGGCAGUUGGUGAGUUUGUAGCCUGGAUAAAAGUCAGGUCUAAGCCAGGUGUGGAGGCUCACGCCUGUAAUCCCAGCACUUUGGGAGGCUGAGGCAGGUGAAUCACUUGAGGCCAGGAGUUUGAGACCAACCUGGCCAACAUGGCAAAACCUCAUCUCUACUAAAAAAUACAAAAAUUAGCCAGAUGUGACGGCACAUGCCUGUAAUCCCAGCUACUCAGGAGGCUGAGGCACGAGAAUCGGUUGAACCCGGGAGGUGGAGAUUUCAGUGAGCCGAGAUCGCACCACUGCACUUCAACCUGGGGGAAAAGCAAGACUCUGUCUC